ensembl:lncRNA
GUAACUUUACUCCUGUUAUAAAUGUGAAGUAAGUAAAAACAACAUAUUUAGUAAAUAUUUGAGAAACAUAAACUGAUUAGGACACUGGAAAUGGUCCGAGGGCAAUCCACUAACCUCUCUCUCCUAUCAGGCCCAUUGCCACUGACUGACAUGAAGGUGUGUGUGUGUGUGUGUACCUCUCUGUGAUAGUGUGUGUGUGUGUGUGUGUGUGUACCUCUCUGUGAUGGUGUGUGUGUGUGUGUGUGUGUGUGUGUGUGUGUGUGUGUGUGUACCUCUCUGUGAUAGUGUGUGUGUGUGUACCUCUCUGUGAUGGUGUGUGUGUGUGUGUGUGUGUGUGUACCUCUCUGUGAUAGGAGAGAGAGGUAC